AUUGAACGCUGGCGGCAGGCCUAACACAUGCAAGUCGAGCGAGCGACGGACGGGUGAUUAAUGUAUGGGGACUGCCCGAUAGAGGUGGCUAACUACUGGAAACGGUAGCUAAUACCGCAUCCUAUCGGAUAACCCAUAUGUCAUUAGCUAGUAGGUGAGGUAAUGGCUAACCUAGGCGCCGAUCCCUAGCUGGUCUGAGAGGAGGAUCAGCCACACUGGGACGGAGAAACGGCCCAGACUCCUACGGAGGCAGUAGGGGGGAAUAUUGCACAAUGGGCGAAAGCCUGAUGCAGCCAUGCCGCGUGUAUGAAGAAGGCCCUAGGGUUGUAAAGUACUUUCAGUCGGGAGGCGUUACCGACAGAAGAAGCACCGGCUAACUCCGUGCCAGCAGCCGCGGUAAUUC
rnacentral:rRNA from 1 species